GCCCAAGUGGUGGAAUGGUAGACACGCUGGUCUUAGAAACCAGUGCCGCAAGGUGUGAAAGUUCGAGUCUUUUCUUGGGCACCA
rnacentral:tRNA from 1 species